rnacentral:rRNA from 1 species
CCUACGGGUGGCAGCAGUGGGGAAUAUUGGACAAUGGGGGGAACCCUGAUCCAGCCAUGCCGCGUGUGUGAAGAAGGCCCUCGGGUUGUAAAGCACUUUCAGUGAGGAAGAACGACUGGUGGUUAAUACCCAUCAGGAAAGACAUCACUCACAGAAGAAGCACCGGCUAACUCCGUGCCAGCAGCCGCGGUAAUACGGAGGGUGCGAGCGUUAAUCGGAAUUACUGGGCGUAAAGCGCGCGUAGGUGGCUUGAUAAGCCGGUUGUGAAAGCCCCGGGCUCAACCUGGGAACGGCAUCCGGAACUGUCAAGCUAGAGUGCAGGAGAGGAAGGUAGAAUUCCCGGUGUAGCGGUGAAAUGCGUAGAGAUCGGGAGGAAUACCAGUGGCGAAGGCGGCCUUCUGGACUGACACUGACACUGAGGUGCGAAAGCGUGGGUAGCAAACAGGAUUAGAUACCCCAGUAGUC